AACCAACAGGGAUUGCCCCAGUAACGGCGAGUGAAGCGGCAACAGCUCAAAUUUGAAAUCUGGCCCCCCGGGGUCCGAGUUGUAAUUUGUAGAGGAUGCUUUUGGUGAGGCGCCGCCCGAGUUCCCUGGAACGGGACGCCACAGAGGGUGAGAGCCCCGUCUGGCUGGCCGCCGAGCCUCUGUAAAGCUCCUUCGACGAGUCGAGUAGUUUGGGAAUGCUGCUCAAAAUGGGAGGUAUAUGUCUUCUAAAGCUAAAUAUUGGCCAGAGACCGAUAGCGCACAAGUAGAGUGAUCGAAAGAUGAAAAGCACCUUGAAAAGAGGGUUAAAUAGUACGUGAAAUUGUUGAAAGGGAAGCGCUUGUGACCAGACUUGGGCGCGGCGGAUCAUCCGGGGUUCUCCCCGGUGCACUUCGCCGCGCCCGGGCCAGCAUCAGUUCGUCGCGGGGGAUAAAGGCUCCGGGAACGUGGCUCCUCCGGGAGUGUUAUAGCCCGCUGCGCAAUACCCUGCGGUGGACUGAGGACCGCGCAUCUGCAAGGAUGCUGGCGUAAUGGUCACCAGCGACCCGUCUUGAAACACGGACCAAGGAGUCGUCUUCGUAUGCGAGUGUUCGGGUGUCAAACCCCUACGCGUAAUGAAAGUGAACGCAGGUGAGAGCUUCGGCGCAUCAUCGACCGAUCCUGAUGUUCUCGGAUGGAUUUGAGUAAGAGCAUACGGGGCCGGACCCGAAAGAAGGUGAACUAUGCCUGUAUAGGGUGAAGCCAGAGGAAACUCUGGUGGAGGCUCGCAGCGGUUCUGACGUGCAAAUCGAUCGUCAAAUAUGGGCAUGGGGGCGAAAGACUAAUCGAACCUUCUAGUAGCUGG
rnacentral:rRNA from 1 species